GGUAACAGAAGAGCUUGCUCUUGCUGACGAGUGGCGGAGGGAAGUAACGUAUGGGGAUCUGCCGAAUGGAGGGGGACAACAGUUGGAAACGACUGCUAAUACCGCAUAAUGUCGCGAGACCAAAGCAUGGGACCUUAGGGCCAUGCGCCAUUUGAUGAACCCAUAUGGGAUUAGCUAGUAGGUGAGGUAAUGGCUCACCUAGGCGACGAUCUCUAGCUGGUCUGAGAGGAUGACCAGCCACACUGGGACUGAGACACGGCCCAGACUCCUACGGGAGGCAGCAGUGGGGAAUAUUGCACAAUGGGGGAAACCCUGAUGCAGCCAUGCCGCGUGUAUGAAGAAGGCCUUCGGGUUGUAAAGUACUUUCGGUAGCGAGGAAGGGGUUAUAUCUAAUAGGUGUAACCAUUGACGUUAACUACAGAAGAAGCACCGGCUAACUCCGUGCCAGCAGCCGCGGUAAUACGGAGGGUGCGAGCGUUAAUCGGAAUGACUGGGGCGUAAAGGGCAUGUAGGCGGAUAGUUAAGUUAGGUGUGAAAGCCCCGGGCUCAACCUGGGGAAUUGCAUUUAAAACUGGUUAUCUGGAGUAUUGGAGAGGGAAGGUAGAAUUCCAUGGGUAGCCGGUGAAAUGCCGUAGAGAUGUGGAAGAAUACCGG
rnacentral:rRNA from 1 species